rnacentral:rRNA from 1 species
GAAGCGGCAACAGCUCAAAUUUGAAAUCUGGCCCUUUCAAGGGUCCGAGUUGUAAUUUGUAGAGGAUGCUUCGGACGGGAGCGCGGGUCUAAGUUCCUUGGAACAGGACGUCAUAGAGGGUGAGAAUCCCGUAUGCGACCCAAUGCCUUUGUUCAUGUGAAGCUCCUUCGACGAGUCGAGUUGUUUGGGAAUGCAGCUCAAAAUGGGUGGUAAAUUUCAUCUAAAGCUAAAUACUGGCCAGAGACCGAUAGCGCACAAGUAGAGUGAUCGAAAGAUGAAAAGCACUUUGGAAAGAGAGUUAAAAAGUACGUGAAAUUGUUGAAAGGGAAGCGCUUGCAACCAGACUUGCUCGCGGUUGCUCAGCCGGUGUUCUCACCGGUGCACUCUUCCGCGAUCAGGCCAGCAUCGGUUUGGGCGGCUGGAUAAAGGCCCCGGGAAUGUAGCUCCUCUCGGGGAGUGUUAUAGCCCGAGGUGCAAUGCAGCCUGCCCGGACCGAGGACCGCGCUUCGGCUAGGAUGCUGGCGUAAUGGUUGUAAGCGACCCGUCUUGAAACACGGACCAAGGAGUCUAACAUCUAUGCGAGUGUUUGGGUGUCAAACCCAUACGCGUAAUGAAAGUGAACGGAGGUGGGAACCCUUAAGGGUGCACCAUCGACCGAUCCUGAUGUCUUCGGAUGGAUUUGAGUAAGAGCAUAGCUGUUGGGACCCGAAAGAUGGUGAACUAUGCCUGAAUAGGGUGAAGCCAGAGGAAACUCUGGUGGAGGCUCGCAGCGGUUCUGACGUGCAAAUCGAUCGUCAAAUUUGGGUAUAGGGGCGAAAGACUAAUCNAACCAUCUAGUAGCUGGUUCCUGCCGAAGUUUCCCCUCAGGAA